rnacentral:tRNA from 1 species
GCCUCCGUGGCGCAAUUGGCUAGCGCGUUCGGCUGUUAACUGAAAGUUGGAGGUUCGAGCCCUUCCGGGAGUG